GUCCAGAUCGUGCGCUCGUUCAGCUCACGAUGAGCGGGCCACUCGGUGGAUUUUUGAUCUGGUUUGGUCUGUUGCAAGCAGCUAGGCAUGGGGAGAUGCAAUUAGUUGUUUCUGCACUUCGCAAUUUUUUCAGGUGUGGCAGUUUCUUCGUGGAGCAGCAAGCUAUUUUCGGAUUUCUGACGUGCGCACUCGCUAUUUUCCAUUGUAAUCAGUCAG